rnacentral:rRNA from 1 species
GACAGAGGGGGCAGCGUUGCUCGGAAUUACUGGGCGUAAAGGGCGCGUAGGCGGGAUGGCAAGUCGGUCGUGAAAUCCCUCGGCUCAACCGAGGAACGUCGAUCGAUACUGCUGUUCUUGAGGAUUGCAGAGGAGACUGGAAUUCCCGGUGUAGCGGUGAAAUGUGUAGAUAUCUGGAGGAACAUCAGUGGCGAAGGCGACACCCUGGACUCAUACUGACACUGGAGGUGCGAAAGCGUGGGGAGCAAACAGG